CAGAUGUGUGCCGCCACCGCACUCAGCUUCUUUACGCGUUGUUCGAGCCAUGGGAGAGUCAGCCCUUGAUGCUCACAUUUGCAAAGGUCUGUGGGAAGCGGGGUAGGGUGCGGUUAAGGAAAACAAUGAAGGCGAUGCCUCACAAAACCCAGAAAUGCCGGAGUCUGCGGAAGGGAAGAUGGCACUCGGCAGCCAGCUCUGGAGCGGGGUGUUGAAUCACUUACAUUCUAUCAAAGAGUUGCUGCACUGAUCAUCCAUCUCCUCAGUGUCCUCGUGGUUGUAUCUUUGAAGUUUAUUUUCUUAAACUCCUUGAAACUGCUCUGCUGGAUGAAGACUGGUGAGACCCUUAAGACAGCUGAGUACAGUGCGCAGCUGCCUUCCUGAAACAUCUCACAACUCAAGCAGCUGUGGACAGUAUGGACCUAACAUCCCUGCAAACUCUGGAUUUUUUAAAACAAUGUUUUUAUUCAUUUAAUGAGGCAGAGAGUGUCACAGUUACUUUUCUUGUUGCUGAAACAAAAUACAUGACACCCAGAGUUAAAGAAAGAAAGAUUAACUGUAGCUCACAGUUACAGCAGUUGCAGGUCACAGCUGGCAGGCUCCAAGGCAAGAGAGGCCUGGCUGAGGGCGUCUCAGCGGCGAGGCGACUCAUGGCAGGCAGAAGGCAGCAAGCAGCAAGCAACAGGUGACAGGUGGCCAGGGCAGCUGUCUUUCUGUCCCUUAUGUUCUCUGUCCAGGCUCCCUGCCCUUAGAGGGGUGGCACUGACAUCCAGAGCGGGUCUUCUCAUUACCACACUCAGACCUGUGCCAGACCAAUCAGUGGACUGGUUCGGUGAUCACACACCCUUGAUCCCAGCAUCACACGUGCCAGCUCCAGCCACCUCUGAAAAGCUCACCUGUGACCACGAGGCUCUGGGGCGAUGUCUAGACACAAGCCAUGAAGAUGGCUAUCCUGUUUUUACAUCUAACUGUGAGUGCUUGUGAAAUUAAGUGUGAGAGAAGAAAAUGUUAUCUUGUUUUUAUAUGUAAAUUUGGUUACUUGUGAAAUUAAAUAUGUCAUGUUUGUUAACCAUUUGGUUAUUUUUUAUUUUAAUUGUCUAUGUAGAUAUUUUGCCGAUUUCUUUUUUAAAUGUUGAAACAUUUGAUAUUUUAAAAUGCAUUUCAAAGGUGGAAAAUCUUUUUUUCUUUUAAGAAGAAGGCAUUCACUAUGGAAAUUUACACCAUAUGAGGAUGAAGAAACGUGUAAUAAAGAAAAAGUUCAACAGAA